CCUACGGGCGGCUGCAGCUAAGAAUCUUCCGCAAUGGGCGAAAGCCUGACGGAGCGACGCCGCGUGAACGAAGAAGGCCGUGAGGUUGUAAAGUUCUUUUCGGGAGGGGGAACAACCGUGGCAGGGAAUGGCCGCGGGAUGACGUGAAUCCCGGAAUAAGCCCCGGCUAACUACGUGCCAGCAGCCGCGGUAACACGUAGGGGGCGAGCGUUGUUCGGAAUCAUUGGGCGUAAAGGGCGUGCAGGCGGUCCUGCAAGUCCGGCGUGAAAGACCCCGGCCCAACCGGGGGGACGCGCUGGAAACUGCAGGGCUUGAGUACAGGAGGGGAUGCCGGAAUUCCAGGUGUAGGGGUGAAAUCUGUAGAUAUCUGGAAGAACACCAAUGGCGAAGGCAGGCAUCUGGCCAUGUACUGACGCUGAGACGCGAAGGUGCGGGGAGCAAACAGGCUUAGAUACCCUAGUAGUC
rnacentral:rRNA from 1 species